GACGAACGCUGGCGGCGUGCUUAACACAUGCAAGUCGAACGGAAAGGCCUGCUUUCCCUUGUGGAUUGCGGGUACUCGAGUGGCGAACGGGUGAGUAACACGUGAGUGAUCUGCCCCCAACUUGGGUAUAAGCCUGGGAAACUGGGUCUAAUUCCCGAUAGGACUGCAGGGUGGUGCCUGUGGUGGAAAACGAUUUUCUAGUGGUUGGGGAUGAGCUCGCAGCCUAUCAGCUUGUUGGUGGGGUAAUGGCCUACCAAGGCGGCGACGGGUAGCCGGCCUGAGAGGGUGGACGGCCACAUUGGGACUGAGAUACGGCCCAGACUCCUACGGGAGGCAGCAGUGGGGAAUAUUGCACAAGGGGCGGAAGCCUGAUGCAGCGACGCCGCGUGGGGGAUGACGGCCUUCGGGUUGUAAACUCCUUUCGACCGCGAGGAAGCCACCUGGUUGGAAGGGUGGUGACGGUAGUGGUAGAAGAAGCACCGGCUAACUACGUG
rnacentral:rRNA from 1 species